AACGUUGUUGCAGUUAAAAAGCUCGUAGUUGAAAUGAAGGGUAGUUGUGUAAUGAAUACAUUCGUGUAUUUUGUUAUUCUACUACCCUCCUUCUAAAUUCGAUAUAUGAGUAUUAAUUUACUUGUAUAUGGUUUUAGACCUUUACUGUGAGAAAAUUAGAGUGUUCAAAGCAGGCAUUUGCUUGAAUAUAUUAGCAUGGAAUAAUCAUGUAUGAUUUUCAUGAUGUAUUUGAUUGGUUUGGUUCAUGAGAAUAAGAUUAAAAGGGACAGUUGGGGGUAUUCAUAUUCAAUAGUCAGAGGUGAAAUUCUCGGAUUUAUGGAAGAUGAA
rnacentral:rRNA from 1 species